GUAGGGUGCAAGCGUUGUCCGGAAUUAUUGGGCGUAAAGAGCUUCGUAGGCGGUUUGUCGCGUCUGCUGUGAAAUCUGGGGGCUCAACCCCCCAGCCUGCAGUGGGUACGGGCAGACUAGAGUGCGGUAGGGGAGAUUGGAAUUCCUGGUGUAGCGGUGGAAUGCGCAGAUAUCAGGAGGAACACCGAUGGCGAAGGCAGAUCUCUGGGCCGUAACUGACGCUGAGGAGCGAAAGCAUGGGGAGCGAACAGGAUUAGAUACCCUGGUAGUCCAUGCCGUAAACGUUGGGAACUAGAUGUAGGGGCCAUUCCACGGUUUCUGUGUCGCAGCUAACGCAUUAAGUUCCCCGCCUGGGGAGUACGGCCGCAAGGCUAAAACUCAAAGGAAUUGACGGGGGCCCGCACAAGCGGCGGAGCAUGCGGAUUAAUUCGAUGCAACGCGAAGAACCUUACCAAGGCUUGACAUAUACCGGAAACGUCCAGAGAUGGUCGCCCCGCAAGGUCGGUAUACAGGUGGUGCAUGGUUGUCGUCAGCUCGUGUCGUGAGAUGUUGGGUUAAGUCCCGCAACGAGCGCAACCCUCGUUCUAUGUUGCCAGCACGUUAUGGUGGGAACUCAUAGGAGACUGCCGGGGUCAACUCGGAGGAAGGUGGGGAUGACGUCAAAUCAUCAUGCCCCUUAUGUCUUGGGCUUCACGCAUGCUACAAUGGCCGAUACAAAGGGCUGCAAUACCGUAAGGUGGAGCGAAUCCCAAAAAGUCGGUCUCAGUUCGGAUUGAGGUCUGCAACUCGACCUCAUGAAGUCGGAGUCGCUAGUAAUCGCAGAUCAGCAACGCUGCGGUGAAUACGUUCCCGGGCCUUGUACACACCGCCCGUCAAGUCAUGAAAGUCGGUAACACCCGAA
rnacentral:rRNA from 1 species